UACGGAGGGAGCUAGCGUUGUUCGGAUAUACUGGGCGUAAAGCGCACGUAGGCGGCGUCGUAAGUCAGGGGUGAAAUCCCGGAGCUCAACUCCGGAACUGCACUUGAUACUGCGGUGCUCGAGUACUGGAGAGGAGAUUGGAAUUUACGGUGUAGCAGUGAAAUGCGUAGAUAUCGUAAGGAAGACCAGUGGCGAAGGCGAAUCUCUGGACAGUUACUGACACUGAGGCACGAAGGCCAGGGGAGCAAACGGG
rnacentral:rRNA from 1 species